rnacentral:rRNA from 1 species
GAACGCUAGCUACAGGCUUAACACAUGCAAGUCGAGGGGCAGCAUUAGGUAGCAAUACUGAGGUGGCGACCGGCGCACGGGUGCGUAACGCGUAUCCAACCUUCCCGUUACUCUUGGAUAGCCUUCCGAAAGGGAGAUUAAUACAGGAUGGUGUUGAAUUCCGCAUGUUAUUCAAACUAAAGAUUUAUCGGUAACGGAUGGGGAUGCGUGACAUUAGGUAGAUGGCGGGGUAACGGCCCACCAUGCCUACGAUGUCUAGGGGUUCUGAGAGGAAGGUCCCCCACACUGGAACUGAGACACGGUCCAGACUCCUACGGGAGGCAGCAGUGAGGAAUAUUGGUCAAUGGGCGCAAGCCUGAACCAGCCAAGUAGCGUGAAGGAUGACUGCCCUAUGGGUUGUAAACUUCUUUUAUAUGGGAACAAUGUGCUCUACGUGUAGAGCUUUGCGUGUACCAUAUGAAUAAGCAUCGGCUAACUCCGUG